AGAGCGAACGCUGGCGGCAGGCCUAACACAUGCAAGUCGAACGCCCAGCAAUGGGAGUGGCAGACGGGAUAGUAACACGUGGGAACGCGCCCUUCGGUUCGGAAUAACUCAGGGAAACUUGAGCUAAUACCGGAUACGCCCUUACGGGGAAAGAUUUAUUGCCGAAGGAACGGCCCGCGUCGGAUUAGCUAGUUGGUGAGGUAAUGGCUCACCAAGGCGACGAUCCGUAGCUGGUCUGAGAGGAUGACCAGCAUCACUGGGACUGAGACACGGCCCAGACUCCUACGGGAGGCAGCAGUGGGGAAUAUUGGACAAUGGGCGCAAGCCUGAUCCAGCCAUGCGCGUGGAUGAUGAAGGCCCUAGGGUUGUAAAGUCCUUUUAACGGGAAGAUAAUGACGGUACCCGUAGAAUAAGCCCCGGCUAACUUCGUGCCAGCAGCCGC
rnacentral:rRNA from 1 species